GGCAAGUGCGCGGUGCGGUGCGCGCGGUCGCGCGCGAAGCGGGGGGCGUGCAUGAAGUACUGCGGGCUGUGCUGCGAGGAGUGCGCCUGCGUGCCCACGGGGAGGAGCGGCAGCCGCGUCGAGUGCCCCUGCUACCGCGACAUGCUCACCGCCGGGCCCAGGAAGAGGCCCAAGUGCCCCUGA
rnacentral:rRNA from 1 species